AUUGAACGCUGGCGGCAUGCCUUACACAUGCAAGUCGAACGGUAACAGGUCUUCGGAUGCUGACGAGUGGCGAACGGGUGAGUAAUACAUCGGAACGUGCCUAGUAGUGGGGGAUAACUACUCGAAAGAGUGGCUAAUACCGCAUGAGAUCUACGGAUGAAAGCAGGGGAUCGCAAGACCUUGUGCUACUAGAGCGGCCGAUGGCAGAUUAGGUAGUUGGUGGGAUAAAAGCUUACCAAGCCGACGAUCUGUAGCUGGUCUGAGAGGACGAUCAGCCACACUGGGACUGAGAAACGGCCCAGACUCCUACGGGAGGCAGCAGUGGGGAAUUUUGGACAAUGGGCGCAAGCCUGAUCCAGCAAUGCCGCGUGCAGGAUGAAGGUCUUCGGGUUGUAAACUGCUUUUGUACGGAACGAAAAGCCCCGGGUUAAUACCCUGGGGUCAUGACGGUACCGUAAGAAUAAGCACCGGCUAGCUACGUGCCAGCAGCCGCCGUAA
rnacentral:rRNA from 1 species